UGGUGAGAUCCAAGGUGCCCGUACCGCAAACCGACACAGGUAGAUGAGGAGAGAAUCCUAAGGCGAGCGAGAGAACUAUUGUUAAGGAACUCGGCAAAAUGACCCCGUAACUUAGGGAGAAGGGGUGCUGCAGAAAUGCAGCCGCAGUGAAGAGGCCCAGGCGACUGUUUACCAAAAACACAGGUCUCUGCGAAAGCGAAAGCUGAAGUAUAGGGGCUGACGCCUGCCCGGUGCUGGAAGGUUAAGGGGAAGUGUCAGGGCGACCGAAGCACAGAACUUAAGCCCCAGUAAACGGCGGCCGUAACAAUAACGGUCCUAAGGUAGCGAAAUUCCUUGUCGGGUAAGUUCCGACCCGCACGAAAGGCGUAACGAUCUGGGCACUGUCUCGACAAUAGGCUCGGUGAAAUUGUAGUACCGGUAAAGAUGCCGGUUACCCGCAGCAGGACGGAAAGACCCCGUGGAGCUUUACUGCAGUUUGAUAUUGAGUUUCGGCAUUGCAUGUACAGGAUAGGUGGGAGACAGAGAAGUAUGCACGCCAGUGUGUAAUGAGUCGCCGUUGGGAUACCACCCUUGUAAUGUUGGAAUUCUAACCAGGGCCCGUGAACCGGGUCGGGGACAGUGUCAGACGGGCAGUUUGACUGGGGCGGUCGCCUCCUAAAGAGUAACGGAGGCGCCCAAAGGUUCCCUCAGUGCGGUUGGAAACCGUGCGAAGAGUGCAAAGGCAGAAGGGAGCUUGACUGCGAGACAAACAGGUCGAGCAGGGACGAAAGUCGGGCUUAGUGAUCCGGUGGUACCGAGUGGAAGGGCCAUCGCUCAACGGAUAAAAGCUACCCCGGGGAUAACAGGCUGAUACCCCCCAAGAGUCCACAUCGACGGGGGUGUUUGGCACCUCGAUGUCGGCUCGUCUCAUCCCGGGGCUGAAGCAGGUCCCAAGGGUUGGGCUGUUCGCCCAUUAAAGAGGUACGCGAGCUGGGUUCAGAACGUCGUGAGACAGUUCGGUCCCUAUCCGCUGUGGGCGUUGGAGGUUUGAGUGGAGCUGCCCUUAGUACGAGAGGACCGGGGUGGACAUACCGCUGGUGCACCGGUUGCAGUGCCAACUGCACAGCCGGGUAGCUAAGUAUGGAAGGGAUAAGCGCUGAAAGCAUCUAAGUGCGAAGCCCCCCACGAGAAAAGACCUCCUUGAGAAUAUCUGAAGAUCCCUGGAAGACUAACAGGUAGAUAGGUCGGAGGUGUAAGUGCAGCGAUGCAUGUAGCUGACCGAUACUAAUAGAUCGAACGC
rnacentral:rRNA from 1 species